rnacentral:rRNA from 1 species
GGGUGACGAGCGGCGGACGGGUGAGUAAUGUCUGGGAAACUGCCUGAUGGAGGGGGAUAACUACUGGAAACGGUAGCUAAUACCGCAUAACGUCUUCGGACCAAAGAGGGGGACCUUAGGGCCUCUCGCCAUCGGAUGUGCCCAGAUGGGAUUAGCUAGUAGGUGAGGUAAUGGCUCACCUAGGCGACGAUCCCUAGCUGGUCUGAGAGGAUGACCAGCCACACUGGAACUGAGACACGGUCCAGACUCCUACGGGAGGCAGCAGUGGGGAAUAUUGCACAAUGGGCGCAAGCCUGAUGCAGCCAUGCCGCGUGUGUGAAGAAGGCCUUCGGGUUGUAAAGCACUUUCAGCGGGGAGGAAGGCGGUGAGGUUAAUAACCUUAUCGAUUGACGUUACCCGCAGAAGAAGCACCGGCUAACUCCGUGCCAGCAGCCGCGGUAAUACGGAGGGUGCAAGCGUUAAUCGGAAUGACUGGGCGUAAAGCGCACGCAGGCGGUCUGUUAAGUUGGAUGUGAAAUCCCCGGGCUUAACCUGGGAACUGCAUUCAAAACUGACAGGCUAGAGUCUUGUAGAGGGGGGUAGAAUUCCAGGUGUAGCGGUGAAAUGCGUAGAGAUCUGGAGGAAUACCGGUGGCGAAGGCGGCCCCCUGGACAAAGACUGACGCUCAGGUGCGAAAGCGUGGGGAGCAAACAGGAUUUAGAUACCCUGGGUAGUCCACGCUGUAAACGAUGUCGAUUUGGGAGGUUGUGCCCUUUGAGGCGUGGCUUCCGGAGCUAACGCGUUAAAUCGACCGCCUGGGGAGUACGGCCGCAAGGUUAAAACUCAAAUUGAAUUUGACGGGGGCCCGCACAAGCGGUGGAGCAUGUGGUUUAAUUCGAUGCAACGCGAAGAACCUUACCUACUCUUGACAUCCACAGAAUUUGGUAGAGAUACCUUAGUGCCUUCGGGAACUGUGAGACAGGUGCUGCAUGGCUGUCGUCAGCUCGUGUUGUGAAAUGUUGGGUUAAGUCCCGCAACGAGCGCAACCCUUAUCCUUUGUUGCCAGCGAUUCGGUCGGGAACUCAAAGGAGACUGCCGGUGAUAAACCGGAGGAAGGUGGGGAUGACGUCAAGUCAUCAUGGCCCUUACGAGUAGGGCUACACACGUGCUACAAUGGCGUAUACAAAGAGAAGCGACCUCGCGAGAGCAAGCGGACCUCAUAAAGUACGUCGUAGUCCGGAUUGGAGUCUGCAACUCGACUCCAUGAAGUCGGAAUCGCUAGUAAUCGUAGAUCAGAAUGCUACGGUGAAUACGUUCCCGGGCCUUGUACACACCGCCCGUCACACCAUGGGAGUGGGUUGCAAAAGAAGUAGGUAGCUUAACCUUCGGGAGGGCGCUUACCACU